GCGCUCCUACGGGACGCAGCAGUAGGGAAUUUUCGUCAAUGGGCGCAAGCCUGAACGAGCGAUGCCGCGUGAGUGAAGAAGGCCUUCGGGUCGUAAAGCUCUGUUGCGGGGGUAAAAAGGCAGCAUCAGGAAAUGGGUGCUGACUGAUGGUGCCCCGCCAGAAAGUCACGGCUAACUACGUGCCAGCAGCCGCGGUAAUACGUAGGUGGCGAGCGUUAUCCGGACUGAUUGGGCGUAA
rnacentral:rRNA from 1 species